CCUACGGGUGGCAGCAGUGGGGAAUAUUGGGCAAUGGGCGCAAGCCUGACCCAGCAAUGCCGCGUGAAGGAAGAAGGCUUUCGGGUUGUAAACUUCUUUGACAGGGGAUGAACACAAUGACGGUACCCCAAUAGCAAGCCACGGCUAACUACGUGCCAGCAGCCGCGGUAAUACGUAGGUGGCAAGCGUUAUCCGGAAUGACUGGGCGUAAAGGGUGCGUAGGUGGGUUAGUAAGUUGGCGGUGUAAUUCCGGGGCUCAACCUCGGCGCUACCGCCAAAACUAUUAGACUAGAGUGCAGGAGGGGUAAGGGGAAUUCCUAGUGUAGCGGUGGAAUGCGUAGAUAUUAGGAGGAACAUCAGGGGCGAAGGCGACUUACUGGACUGUAACUGACACUGAGGCACGAAAGCGUGGGGAGCAAACAGGAUUAGAUACCCCAGUAGUC
rnacentral:rRNA from 1 species